rnacentral:rRNA from 1 species
AGUAAAUAGAUACCCCGGUAGUCCACGCCGUAAACGAUGUCGACUUGGAGGUUGUGCCCUUGAGGCGUGGCUUCCGGAGCUAAACGCGUUAAAGUCGACCGCCUGGGGAGUACGGCCGCAAGGUUAAAACUCAAAUGAAUUGACGGGGCCCGCACAAGCGGUGGAGCAUGUGGUUUAAUUCGAUGCAACGCGAAGAACCUUACCUACUCUUGACAUCCAGAGAACUUAGCAGAGAUGCUUUGGUGCCUUCGGGAACUCUGAGACAGGUGCUGCAUGGCUGUCGUCAGCUCGUGUUGUGAAGUGUUGGGUUAAGUCCCGCAACGAGCGCAACCCUUAUCCUUUGUCGCCAGCGGUUAGGCCGGGAACUCAAAGGAGACUGCCAGUGAUAAACUGGAGGAAGGUGGGGAUGACGUCAAGUCAUCAUGGCCCUUACGAGUAGGGCUACACACGUGCUACAAUGGCGCAUACAAACGAGAAGCGACCUCGCGAGAGCAAGCGGACCUCAUAAAGUGCGUCGUAGUCCGG